rnacentral:rRNA from 1 species
UCCCUGAGAGUCCUGAAGGAACGUUGAAGACGACGACGUUGAUAGGCCGGGUGUGUAAGCGCAGCGAUGCGUUGAGCUAACCGGUACUAAUGAACCGUGAGGCUUAACCUUACAACGCCGAAGMUGUU